CUAGGACUACAUAACUGUGUGGUCCAGUGAUAGGCCAGUGUCCCAGCCAGCAACAUGGAGUUCCCCGGAGAAAUGAGUCAUUUCCUUCUGUUUGGGGAUUAAAAACUGCCGGGCAUCCAGGUGCAACCUCAGAGUCCCCUCAAGCAGCUUUUUGAUCCCGUCUUCCGCAUCAGUUGCUGAAAAUAGUCGGACGAGGAAGGGAGGAAGCAGACUGACUCCUGAAAGAGGGUGAAUCGCAACACCACAAGACUCUCAACUCAGGUCUGCAGAGUCUCAUUGGGUGAUGAGAUGCUGCAGAGGUACACCACAGCUGCUCACACUCAGAAAAAUCCAGUUACAGUGCAUGACUGUUGUGGGGCUAGUGCUGCUAGUUCCAGAGAAUAAGAUCCGAGCAGAGAGGCUUCUGUUUGCAGUGGGUGGUGGUUAGGGCUUAAUUGGACAAAGCCCUGAGAAUAAGUGCCUGUUGCAUGCUCAUCUCUACGUGAGGCUGUGUUUCCAUCUCUGAAAGACCCAGGGACCAUCCCAGAUGCGGAGGAAGAAACCACGCAAGAGUCAGGAGAUGGGGACGAGAGCAGUGAGACACUGUCUUCUGGACAUGGCACGGGGACUGUGUUCUCAAACUCACAGGGGCUGGGGUCACCCACGCAAGAUUAUUUCAGUUAACAUUCCAGAGGAGGGGAUCCUGAGCCCCCCCCUUCCCUGAGGAGAAACUGUCAGCCAAUGGUUGCUAGGCGACGGGAGAGUAAGUUUCUUUAGUGGUGUAGCCACUGAUAAAUUGCCCUGUGCUUCCAUAAACAAAAACAAACAAAACCCCCUGCUCAUGCUCAUGCAUGCAACCCUAAAUAACUGCGGUGAGUCACAAGAAAAUACCAAAACAAACAAAAUAAAACACAAGACGUGGACGUAAGAGAGGGACUUGGUGGGAAGAAUAAAGGAUUCAGUAGGAGUGGGAAAUGAGUGGACGAGGGAACCGAGGAGUAAAAAGGACCCCAGAUACAUUAUGUCCAUGUACAAAAUUAAAGAACUUUUCAAAAUUUAGAAAAGCUCCCGGCGUGAUCCCAAGAGGAACGCUAAAAGAAGUUGCGUCAGACGGCCUAUCGAAGACCACGUCUCUGGGUAGAGAAUCUAGAGCAUUGCUGGGGUCUGGAAUGCGGGUCAAAGGCUUGGUCUCAGUCCUGGGGAGAGAGCAUAGGGUGUCACAGGCUCAGCUUGUGAGGGAGCGAAUCUACAGAAAACAAUCACAGGCUAGGAGGCUCCAUAGCAGAGAGCCCCCGGGAGCCAUGCCUGCAAAGUGGUAGGGAACAGGAGCUGG